GCUGAGCUUAGUAACGUGAGCUUGUAACCCGAGUGGGAGCAAUAAGAUGAUGGGACAACCAAUUCGUUAUGGCCUUUGACACAAAUAGUGCGGUUUGGUUUGGUUCAUAGAAGGCGGAUUUGUGGUGUAGUAUGCGUACUACGGUUACUAGUAGUACUCAAAGUCCAUAGGAUUUAGACCUGUCUGGCUCCCAAAAGAGGAGUUUGACAGUGGGAGGAGGGGCAACCCCCGCGGAUUUGCUCCUCAUUGUGGCUGGCUUAACAGAGCAGCGCUCCCAACUGAUGGCCGGGGCGGCCAUCAAAGACCAGUUCCCGUCCCAAGUCACACCGCUAUAUGAGAUGUCAAGGUUAUCGUUGGUUGGACCAUCAUUUUU
rnacentral:SRP_RNA from 1 species